UAAGACAGAGGAGCCAAGCGUUGUCCGGAUUGACUGGGCGUAAAGCGCACGCAGGCGGCCGUGCACGUGGGGUGUGAAAGCUGGCGGCUUAACUGCCAGACGCCACCUCAUACGGCACGGCUCGAGCCCGUGAGAGGUCCACGGAAUUGCCGGUGUAGUGGUGAAAUGCGUAGAGAUCGGCAGGAACACCCAGGGGGAAACCAGUGGACUGGCACGGUGCUGACGCUCAGGUGCGAAAGCGUGGGGAGCGAACCGGAUUAGAUACCCGGGUAGUCCACGCCGUAAACGAUGAAUACUCGGCAUCUGGUUCUCGAUUUUCGGGAGCCGGGUGCCCCAGCUAACGCGGUAAGUAUUCCGCCUGGGAACUACGAGCGCAAGCUUA
rnacentral:rRNA from 1 species